UACGUAGGGUGCGAGCGUUAAUCGGAAUUACUGGGCGUAAAGCGUGCGUAGGCGGUUCGUUAAGUUCGUUGUGAAAGCCCCGGGCUCAACCUGGGAAUGGCAAUGGAUACUGGCAGGCUAGAGUGCGGUAGAGGGUAGUGGAAUUCCCGGUGUAGCGGUGAAAUGCGUAGAGAUCGGGAGGAACACCAGUGGCGAAGGCGGCUACCUGGACCAGCACUGACACUGAGGCACGAAAGCGUGGGGAGCAAACAGG
rnacentral:rRNA from 1 species